AUAGUAGGUUUUUAAAGGGGUGAAAAUAUAAUAACAUCGCAUUCGUAAUGCGAAGGUCGUAGGUUCGACUCCUAUUAUCGGCACCA
rnacentral:tRNA from 3 species